GAGUGGCGAACGGGUGAGUAACACGUGGGUAACCUGCCCAGAAGUAGGGGAUAACACCUGGAAACAGAUGCUAAUACCGUAUAACAGAGAAAACCGCAUGGUUUUCUUUUAAAAGAUGGCUCUGCUAUCACUUCUGGAUGGACCCGCGGCGUAUUAGCUAGUUGGUGAGGCAAAGGCUCACCAAGGCAGUGAUACGUAGCCGACCUGAGAGGGUAAUCGGCCACAUUGGGACUGAGACACGGCCCAGACUCCUACGGGAGGCAGCAGUAGGGAAUCUUCCACAAUGGACGCAAGUCUGAUGGAGCAACGCCGCGUGAGUGAAGAAGGGUUUCGGCUCGUAAAGCUCUGUUGUUAAAGAAGAACGUGGGUAAGAGUAACUGUUUACCCAGUGACGGUAUUUAACCAGAAAGCCACGGCUAACUACGUGCCAGCAGCCGCGGUAAUACGUAGGUGGCAAGCGUUAUCCGGAUUUAUUGGGCGUAAAGCGAGCGCAGGCGGUCUUUUAAGUCUAAUGUGAAAGCCUUCGGCUCAACCGAAGAAGUGCAUUGGAAACUGGGAGACUUGAGUGCAGAAGAGGACAGUGGAACUCCAUGUGUAGCGGUGAAAUGCGUAGAUAUAUGGAAGAACACCAGUGGCGAAGGCGGCUGUCUGGUCUGCAACUGACGCUGAGGCUCGAAAGCAUGGGUAGCGAACAGGAUUAGAUACCCUGGUAGUCCAUGCCGUAAACGAUGAUUACUAAGUGUUGGAGGGUUUCCGCCCUUCAGUGCUGCAGCUAACGCAUUAAGUAAUCCGCCUGGGGAGUACGACCGCAAGGUUGAAACUCAAAAGAAUUGACGGGGGCCCGCACAAGCGGUGGAGCAUGUGGUUUAAUUCGAAGCUACGCGAAGAACCUUACCAGGUCUUGACAUCUUCUGACAGUCUAAGAGAUUAGAGGUUCCCUUCGGGGACAGAAUGACAGGUGGUGCAUGGUUGUCGUCAGCUCGUGUCGUGAGAUGUUGGGUUAAGUCCCGCAACGAGCGCAACCCUUAUUACUAGUUGCCAGCAUUAAGUUGGGCACUCUAGUGAGACUGCCGGUGACAAACCGGAGGAAGGUGGGGACGACGUCAAAUCAUCAUGCCCCUUAUGACCUGGGCUACACACGUGCUACAAUGGAUGGUACAACGAGUCGCGAAACCGCGAGGUUAAGCUAAUCUCUUAAAACCAUUCUCAGUUCGGACUGUAGGCUGCAACUCGCCUACACGAAGUCGGAAUCGCUAGUAAUCGCGGAUCAGCAUGCCGCGGUGAAUACGUUCCCGGGCCUUGUACACACCGCCCGUCACACCAUGAGAGUUUGUAACACCCAAAGCCGGUGGGGUAACCUUUUAGGAGCUAGCCGUCUAAGGUGGGACAGAUGAUUAGGG
rnacentral:rRNA from 1 species